rnacentral:rRNA from 1 species
CCUACGGGUGGCAGCAGUGAGGCAUAUUGGUCAAUGGGCGUAAGCCUGAACCAGCCAAGUCGCGUGAGGGAUGAAGGUUCUAUGGAUCGUAAACCUCUUUUAUAAGGGCAUAAAGUGUGGGACGUGUCCUAUUUUGUAUGUACCUUAUGAAUAAGGAUCGGCUAACUCCGUGCAAGCAGCCGCGGUAAUACGGAGGAUCCGAGCGUUAUCCGGAUUUAUUGGGUUUAAAGGGUGAGUAGGCGGCCUUUUAAGUCAGCGGUGAAAGUCUGUGGCUCAACCAUAGAAUUGCCUGUGAAACUGGGGGGCUUGAGUAUGUUUGAGGAAGGCGGAAUGCGUGGGGUAGCGGUGAAAUGCUUAGAUAUCACGCAGAACCCCGAUUGCGAAGGCAGCCUGCCAAGCCAUGACUGACGCUGAUGCACGAAAGCGUGGGGAUCAAACAGGAUUAGAUACCCUGGUAGUC